AGAAUCAACGCUGGCGGCGUGCCUAACACAUGCAAGUCGAACGAGAAAGUGGAGCAAUCCAUGAGUAAAGUGGCGCACGGGUGAGUAACACGUGACUAACCUACCCUUGAGUGGGGGAUAGCCUAGGGAAACCUGGGCUAAUACCGCAUAAUACCUUCGGGUCAAAGGAGCAAUUCGCUUAAGGAGGGGUCGCGGCCGAUUAGUUAGUUGGCGGGGUAAUGGCCCACCAAGACGAUGAUCGGUA
rnacentral:rRNA from 1 species